rnacentral:rRNA from 1 species
UGGGGAAUCUUGGACAAUGGGGGCAACCCUGAUCCAGCCAUGCCGCGUGAGUGAUGAAGGCCUUAGGGUCGUAAAGCUCUUCGCCUGUGAAGAUAAUGACGGUAGCAGGUAAAGAAACCCCGGCUAACUCCGUGCCAGCAGCCGCGGUAAUACGGAGGGGGUUAGCGUUGUUCGGAAUUACUGGGCGUAAAGCGCACGUAGGCGGACCAGAAAGUUGGGGGUGAAAUCCCGGGGGCUCAACCCCGGAACUGCCUCCAAAACUAUUGGUCUAGAGUUCGAGAGAGGUGAGUGGAAUUCCAAGUGUAGAGGUGAAAUUCGUAGAUAUUUGGAGGAACACCAGUGGCGAAGGCGGCUCACUGGCUCGAUACUGACGCUGAGGUGCGAAAGUGUGGGGAGCAAACAGGAUUAGAUACCCUGGUAGUCCACGCCGUAAAACGAUGAGUGCUAGUCGUCGGCAGGCAUGCCUGUCGGUGACGCAGCUAACGCAUU